UGCCUAACACAUGCAAGUCGAACGUGAAAGGGAGCAAUCCCGAGUAAAGUGGCGUACGGGUGAGUAACGCGUAGGUAAUCUACCCCAGAAUCUGGAAUAACCUGCCGAAAGGCGGGCUAAUACUGGAUAGAGCGAGGGAACUCGUAAGAGAGUUUUUCGGGAAAGGGAGCCUGUAAGGGCCUUCGUUCUGGGAUGAGCCUGCGUCUCAUUAGCUAGUUGGUAAGGUAACGGCUUACCAAGGCGAUGAUGAGUAGCUGGUCUGAGAGGAUGAUCAGCCACACUGGAACUGAAACACGGUCCAGACUCCUACGGGAGGCAGCAGUGGGGAAUCUUGCGCAAUGGACGAAAGUCCGACGCAGCCACGCCGCGUGAGUGAAGAAGGCCUUCGGGUUGUAAAGCUC
rnacentral:rRNA from 1 species